CCCAUUUGAUAACAUUUGCACCUAUAACCAUGUGGUUCACCUGACCACUAGAGUGACUUGUUUUACAACCAUCAUAAAAACAAUUGUAAAAUCAAGUCCGGUCACAUGGGGCCUCGACUUACAACCAUAACAACUUACAAUAACAAUCCCAGUCCUAAUUAUGACUGUAAUCGCACUGAUUUAAAUAGUGGUUCUUUGUUCAUGCUAGCAUGCUUUGAAAAGGGCAUUCUUCAAUCUUUUUCUCCAGCCUUAGAAGGAAAUGAAUAAAAUUUAGAACUUCUAAUGUUUCCACCAAGGUUUUCUCCCUCACUAAUAUACAUCAUAUCCAAUCUGCAAAAAUAUGAUUUGGAUAGACCUAUUGAAGCAGAAGGGAAAAUAAUUAGCUUCUACAACCCUUUCUCUGUGUUAAUCUCUUUUCAUAAUUGUCACUAUUGCAUUUUGUUGCAAACUCUUGAAGACAGGAGCUUUGUAAUUUGCUUUUCUUUGUAUUAAGUUACUGAAUAAAACAAUUAAUGAGAGUGGGCAAUUAUAAUUCUCUGAAAUAUGGCCUUUCAUCACCCAUAGUCUUCAAGCCCUGUUGCUUAUAUUCAUGCAUAUCCAGAACUUACACAGGCAAUAUUAAUUAUUAUUUGAAUAAUUAAUAAUUUAAUAUUUCCUUUUUUCAAGCUGCUGUGUGAGGCAGCACUGACAUUUUCUACAGAAGAGUGUAUCCCUGCGAGAAACUAUUUAACUGAGAAGUCUGAAAGGGGACAAGGAGUUUAACUCACUACCACAAUCCAAAUCAUGAAAACUAUGCUUCAAGUAUGCAAGCUUCAUUGACUAUGAAGCAACAUAAAUUUCCCAGUUGUGUGCCAUUUUGCUCUCCUCAUGAGGAAAAAUCUUUUAGAUUACUUCAUUAUCUAUAUGGAAUGAGUCGUAUGAAUAUACUGAGAUCUGUUCAUUCCAUUCCAAGUUGUAUCCACUCCAGUUUUUGCUGCCCAAAAUACAAAUCAUUCUUUUACCUGAGAGAACUGUGGGUGUUUGUUUUCCCAUAGUAUUUUUCAUUCAGCAUUUGCCUCUGACAGGUGAUCAACAUCUUGGUUCUAAUAUUAUGGAGGCAUCUAGAGAGCUGUGACUCAUAUGUUGAAAGAGAUGUGAUUGUUUUGGCUUGCAAAGAAAGACCAAGCAAAAGUAAAACCUCACAGUAGACCAAGAUUGACAUGUCUAUAUACAGUAUAUAUAGCAAAGGAACACGUCAACUCUUUUAUUUUCUUUUUCUUGGGGUUCUUCAGCCUUUUCUCUCUCUUUUUAAGUUCUUUUCUUCUCUUCUCACAUUGCAACUAAUUUUUUAUUUAGCCCAUUUCCUGUAUCUUUUUUUCAGUCUUACUAAACUCCCCACCCAAACUUUCUAAUCCUGGUAUCUUCCAGAUGAGUUGAAACAUUUUAUUCCCCA